GCCAGGCAUGGUGGCACGCGCCUGUAGUCCCAGCUACUUGGGAAGCUGAGGUGGGAGAAUUGCUUGAGCCCAGGAGGUGGAGGUUGCAGUGAGCUGAGAUCGCACCACUGCACUCCAGCCUGGGCCACAGAGUGAGACUCUGUCCCCACCCCCCGCCCCCCAAAAAAAGAUGGAGUCUCACUCUGUGGUCCAGGCUGGAGUGCAGUGGUGCGAUCUCGGUUCACUGCAACCUCCGCCUCCCGGGUUCAAGAAAUUCUCCCGCCUCAG
rfam:Chlorocebus sabaeus isolate 1994-021 chromosome 19, whole genome shotgun sequence.